CAUCUUAACCGGAAGAGUCAGCAGAGCAAAAACUCCAUCCCAUCCCACCACUGGCUUCUGUGCUGGAUUAAGUAAGGCUAGAAUUCAGACCUCUCAUAGCAGGAUAGCGUCAGCCUUGCACUUUAUGGGCCUUAUCUGGAAGUGAAUGAAAGAGAAACUGGCCAGAGAAGAUAGAUGCCCAAAUCAACAGAACAGUGUAAAAGUCGGACACAAGAGUGCUACAGGGAGUGUGAGCCCUGCCCAUCCAAGAAAGGACCCAACGUGCCUCCCGUCUGCAUCAUCCUGUGUGUGGAGUGAAGGGAGACAAGGCAAGGAAGGUGCUUGCAAAUUACAACUGGUAGGAAUCAUAUACUUCAAUAAAUUUGGUAUGAAACUGUUCUUGAAUGCCAGCUACAGG